GUGGUGAUUCAUAAUAACUUNUCGAAUCGCAUGGCCUUGNGCNGGCGAUGGUUCAUUCAAAUUUCUGCCCUAUCAACUUUCGAUGGCAGGGUCUUGGCCUGCCAUGGUUACAACGGGUAACGGAGGGUUAGGGCUCGACCCCGGAGAAGGAGCCUGAGAAACGGCUACNACAUCCAAGGAAGGCAGCAGGCGCGCAAAUUACCCAAUCCCGAUNCGGGGAGGUAGUGACAAUAAAUACUGAUACAGGGCUCUUUUGGGUCUUGUAAUUGGAAUGAGUACAAUUUAAAUCCCUUAACGAGGAACAAUUGGAGGGCAAGUCUGGUGCCAGCAGCCGCGGUAAUUCCAGCUCCAAUAGCGUAUAUUAAAGUUGUUGCAGUUAAAAAGCUCGUAGUUGAACCUUGGGCCUGGCUGGCCGGUCCGCCUCACCGCGUGCACUGGUUCGGCCGGGCCUUUCNNUNUNGGNAACCUNANGCCNUUCANUGGGNGUGAUGGGNAACCAGGANUUUUACUGUAAAAAAAUUAAAGNGUUNAAAGCAGGCCUAUGNUCAAAUNCAUUACCAUGGAAUAAUAAAAUAGGACGGCGGGUUUUAUUUUGUNGGGUUUNUAAGACCGCCCNAAUGAUUAAUAGGGACAGUCGGGGGCAUUAGUAUUCAAUUGUCAAAGGUAAAAAUUNUUGNAUUUAUNGAAAACUAANUACUGNAAAAAGCAUUNGCCAAGGAUGUUUUUNUUAAUCANGAACGAAAGU
rnacentral:rRNA from 1 species